rnacentral:rRNA from 1 species
GACGAACGCUGGCGGCGUGCUUAACACAUGCAAGUCGAACGAAGAGCGAUGGAAGCUUGCUUCUAUCAAUCUUAGUGGCGAACGGGUGAGUAACGCGUAAUCAACCUGCCCUUCAGAGGGGGACAACAGUUGGAAACGACUGCUAAUACCGCAUACGAUCUGACCUCGGCAUCGAGGAUAGAUGAAAGGUGGCCUCUACAUGUAAGCUAUCACUGAAGGAGGGGAUCGCGUCUGAUUAGCUAGUUGGAGGGGUAACGGCCCACCAAGGCGAUGAUCAGUAGCCGGUCUGAGAGGAUGAACGGCCACAUUGGGACUGAGACACGGCCCAGACUCCUACGGGAGGCAGCAGUGGGGAAUCUUCCGCAAUAGACGAAAGUCUGACGGAGCAACGCCGCGUGAGUGAUGACGGCCUUCGGGUUGUAAAGCUCUGUUAAUCGGGACGAAAGGCCUUUUUGCGAAUAGUGAGAAGGAUUGACGGUACCGGAAUAGAAAGCCACGGCUAACUACGUG